rnacentral:lncRNA from 10 species
AUACACACACACACAUUCUUCAGCAUUGUUGCAGGCACUUGGACACAUUCUGUAUUCAUCACUGCCAGAUCAAUAUUGUGUCCUGUGUUACAGAGGAGGAAGCUGAUGCCAAAAGAGGUUAAAUAAUUUGCUCCGAGCCACAUAGCAGGUAAGUAAUAGAGCCUGGGUCGAAACCACGUUCUCUCCAAAUCUGAACUGCAAAGAGAGAAGCAGCACAAAGGAAGUGUUGCCUUUAAAAAGAUGUGCCUCCACACGCGGGUGUUCCAGCCCAGUCACCCCAGCACCACUGAGCACCAUUCACCUCAACGAGGGCAUGGAAUUCUACCCGAAUGUGAGGCACAGUAGUGUGAUAAUAGACUUAAUCUCUCUCUCUCUUCCCCCCCGCGCCCCCAGAAAGAAGGAGAUGUAAGAGAAGCCCCCUGCCCCCCAGCACGUGUUUCUCUAAACCAUUCCAGGAAUAAGUAGUUUGCUUUCCGGCUGUGGGAGGUGGUGGCGAUGGGAGGGGUUCUGAAUUCUCUGCGCACAUCUCCUCUCUCCAGAGUCAGUGAGAGGAUGAAGCUCUGAGAAUCCCAGGGAGGAGAGUGGUUAGUGGUUGCUGUUACAGUCCCCUCAGGAGUGUGUCUGUUCUUCCCUGAAGGUGACAUUCUGUCCCCCAGAAAUGUUUGCGGCUGAUGGAGGCCUGUGGACUCUCCAGGAGCAGGAAGCUCCCAGCUCUGUGAGAAGCUGUUACCUGUGAGAACUUGACGCCCCAGCUCUGCUCCCUGAACCCACAGGCUCCCUGGGCAUAGCUGGGCUCACAGCCCCCAGGACUUCCCUUCUCUUUGUUUCUGUGAUCGCGUUCUCAUCCUUGGGUCUUUGGAGACAUUUUAUUUUGUAAAUUCGAGGAUUUCAACUGCUAUUAUUAUAAUUAUUUUUUUUUAGGUGAAGUCUCGCUCUAUUGCCAGGCUGGAGUGCUGUCGUGCGAUCUCUGCUCACUGCAAGCUCCGACUCCCUGGCCCAAGCGAUUCUCCUGCCUCAGCCUCCCGAGUAGCUGGGAUUACAGGCAGGCACCACCACACCCACCUAACAUUUGUAUUUUUAGUAGAGAGGGGGUUUCACCAUGUUGGCCAGGAUGGUCUCGAUCUCCUGACCUCGUGAUCCACCUGCCUCAACCUCCCAAAGUGCUGGGAUUACAGGCGUGAGGCACUGCGCCCGGCCAUUACUAUUAUUUUUUAAAUGGGGACUCUGGCACUCAGGAAAUGUUUAUCCCAACUUUGGAGACAUACUAUGACCUAGUGCGCAGCCAGGGAAAAGUGACAUCAGCCCUAAAAACAGUGAAAUUCCUCAGGCCACUCAGCCCUUGCCAGACGCUGGCUUCCUGCACGGCCGAGUGACUGGACUGCGAAUCCAUUCCACGCUUAUUGACCACCUUCUCUACCAAUGAACGCAAAGCAUUUCAUUUCUUCUUAAUUUCAACAAAUUUUAAUGGACAAAAAUUGUAUAUGUUUAUGGCGUACAAUAUAUUUUGAAAAUACGUAAACAUUGUAGAAUAAGUACAAAGCAUCCAUUGUACAAUUCAGUGAAUAUAAUUAAUAACAAUGUAUUGUAUGCUUGCAAAUUACUAAAAUAGUGGACUUUAAGUACUCUCACCACUAAAAUAUAAGAAUGUGUG